GUAAAAAGUAGAAUAAUAGAUUUGAAAUAUUUAUUAUAUAGAUUUAAAGAGAUAAUCAUGGAGUAUAAAUUAUUAAAUAAGAUAAGAUUUAAUAAUAACUAUUAAUAGGAUUAGGUUACUAAUAAAUUAAUAAUAAUUAAUUUAAAAACCUAAAGGUAAACCUUUAUAUUAAUAAUAUAUAUAUUUAUAUUAUUAAUAAUAAUAAGAACUAAGUGAACUGAAACAUCUAAGUAACUUAAGGAAUAUAAAUCAACAGAGAUAUUAUGAGUAUUGGUGAGAGAAAAUAAUAAAGGUCUAAUAAGUAUUAUGUAAGAAGUAUGUAAGAAAAUAGGAUAACAAAUUCUAAGACUAAAUACUAUUAAUAAGUAUAAUAAGUACCGUAAGGGAAAGUAUGAAAAUGAUUAUUUUAUAAGCAAUCAUGGAUAUAAUUUUAAUAUUAAUGAUGUACCUUUUGUAUAAUGGGUCAGCAAGUAAUUAAUAUUAGUAAAACAAUAAAGUUAUAAAUAAAUAGAAAAAGUAUAUAUAUAAAAAAAUAUAUUAAAAUAUUUAAUUAAUAUUAAUUGACCCGAAAGCAAACGAUCUAACUAUGAUAAGAUGGGUAAACGAUCGAACAGGUUGAUGUUGCAAUAUCAUCUGAUUAAUUGUGGUUAGUAGUGAAAGACAAAUCUGGUUUGCAGAUAGCUGGUUUUCUAUGAAAUAUAUGUAAGUAUAGCCUUUAUAAAUAAUAAUUAUUAUAUAAUAUUAAAAUAAUAUUAUAUAAAGAAUGGUACAGCAAUUAAUAUAUAUUAGGGAACUAUAAAAGUUUUAUUAAUAAUAUUAAAUCUCGAAAUGUUUAAUUAUAUAUAAUAAAGAGUCAGAUUAUGUGCGAUAAGGUAAAUAAUCAAAAGGGAAACAGCCCAGAUUAAGAUAUAAAGUUCCUAAUAAAUAAUAAGUGAAAAAAAUAUUAAAAUAUUAUAAUAUAAUCAGUUAAUGGGUUUGACAAUAACCAUUUUUUAAUGAACAUGUAACAAUGCACUGAUUUAUAAAAAUAAAAUAAUAUUUAAAAUCAAAUAUAUAUAUAUAUUUUUGUUAAUAGAUAAUAUACGGAUCUUAAUAAUAAUAAGAAUUAUUUAAUUCCAAAAAUGGAAUAUCAUAUUAAAUUAAUAAAAAAUAUGAAUACUGAAUAUCUAAAUAUUAUUAUUAAUAAUAAAUAAUAAUAAUAAUAUGGUAAUAGAACAUUUAAUGAUAAUAUAUAUUAGUUAUUAAUUAAUAUAUUAAUUAAUUAAAUAGAGAAUGCUGACAUGAGUAACGAAAAAAAGGUAUAAACCUUUUCACCUAAAACAUAAGGUUUAACUAUAAAAGUACGGCCCCUAAUUAAAUAAAUAAGAAUAUAAAUAUAUUUAAGAUGGGAUAAUCUAUAUUAAUAAAAAUAAUCUUAAAAUAUAUAUAUUAUUAUUAUUAAUUUAUUAAUUAAUUAAUUAAUAAUAUAUAUAAUUAUAUUUAUAUAUUAUAUAUAUAUAUAAUAUAAACUAAUAAAGAUCAAGAAAAGUAUUAAUGUAUACCGUAAUGUAGACCGACUCAGGUAUGUAAGUAGAGAAUAUGAAGGUGUAUUAGAGAAUUAAAGGGAAGGAACUCGGCAAAGAUAGCUCAUAAGUUAGUCAAUAAAGAGUAAUAAGAACAAAGUUGUACAACUGUUUACUAAAAACACCGCACUUUGCAGAAACGAUAAGUUUAAGUAUAAGGUGUGAACUCUGCUCCAUGCUUAAUAUAUAAAUUAAAUUAUUUAACGAUAAUUUAAUUAAAUUUAGGUAAAUAGCAGCCUUAUUAUGAGGGUUAUAAUGUAGCGAAAUUCCUUGGCCUAUAAUUGAGGUCCCGCAUGAAUGACGUAAUGAUACAACAACUGUCUCCCCUUUAAACUAAGUGAAAUUGAAAUCGUAGUGAAGAUGCUAUGUACCUUCAGCAAGACGGAAAGACCCUAUGCAGCUUUACUGUAAUUAGAUAGAUCGAAUUAUUGUUUAUUAUAUUCAGCAUAUUAAGUAAUCCUAUAAUUUUAGGUAAUCGUUUAGAUAUUAAUGAGAUACUUAUUAUAAUAUAAUGAUAAUUCUAAUCUUAUAAAUAAUAAUUAAUUAAUUAAUUAAUUAAUUAUUAAUACUUAAUAGAUAUAAUUUCUUAAGUAAUAUAUAAUAUAUUAUAUUAUUAUAUGUAUUAUAUAUAUAUAUAAGAGACAAUCUCUAAUUGGUAGUUUUGAUGGGGCGUCAUUAUCAGCAAAAGUAUCUGAAUAAGUCCAUAAAUAAAUAUAUAAAAUUAUUGAAUAAGAAUAAUAUAUAUUAUAUAUAUUAAUUAUAAAUUGAAAUAUAUUUAUAUUUUUAAUGAAUAUAUUUUAGUAAUAGAUAAAAAUAUGUACAGUAAAAUUGUAAGGAAAACAAUAAUAACUUUCUAUUUAUUAAUUUAUAAUAAAAUAUAGAAAGAAUUAGAUUAAUAUAAUGGUAUAACUGUGCGAUAAUUGUAACACAAACGAGUGAAACAAGUACGUAAGUAUGGCAUAAUGAACAAAUAACACUGAUUGUAAAGGUUAUUGAUAACGAAUAAAAGUUACGCUAGGGAUAACAGGGUAAUAUAACGAAAGAGUAGAUAUUGUAAGUUAUGUUUGCCACCUCGAUGUCGACUCAACAUUUCCUCUUGGUUGUAAAAGCUAAGAAGGGUUUGACUGUUCGUCAAUUAAAAUGUUACGUGAGUUGGGUUAAAUACGAUGUGAAUCAGUAUGGUUCCUAUCUGCUGAAGGAAAUAUUAUCAAUUUAAAUCUCAUUAUUAGUACGCAAGGACCAUAAUGAAUCAACCCAUGGUGUAUCUAUUGAUAAUUUAAUAAUAUAUUUAUAAUAAAAAUUUUAUAAUAAAUAUAUUAUCUAUAUUAGUUUAUAUUUUUAUAUAAUUAUCAUAGUAGAUAAGCUAAGUUGAUAAUAAAUAAAUAUUGAAUACAUAUUAAAUAUGAAGUUGUUUUAAUAAGAUAAUUAAUCUGAUAAUUUUAUACUAAAAUUUAAUAAUUAUAGGUUUUAUAUAUUCUUUAUAUAUUAAUAAUAUUUUAUAUAAUAUUAAUAAAAUACUAAUUUAUCAGUUAUCUAUAUAAUAUCUAAUCUAUUAUUCUAUAUACU
rnacentral:rRNA from 1 species